UAUACAUGCAGUCGAGCGAAUGGAUUAAGAGCUUGCUCUUAUGAAGUUAGCGGCGGACGGGUGAGUAACACGUGGGUAACCUGCCCAUAAGACUGGGAUAACUCCGGGAAACCGGGGCUAAUACCGGAUAACAUUUUGAACCGCAUGGUUCGAAAUUGAAAGGCGGCUUCGGCUGUCACUUAUGGAUGGACCCGCGUCGCAUUAGCUAGUUGGUGAGGUAACGGCUCACCAAGGCAACGAUGCGUAGCCGACCUGAGAGGGUGAUCGGCCACACUGGGACUGAGACACGGCCCAGACUACUACGGGAGGCAGCAGUAGGGAAUCUUCCGCAAUGGACGAAAGUCUGACGGAGCAACGCCGCGUGAGUGAUGAAGGCUUUCGGGUCGUAAAACUCUGUUGUUAGGGAAGAACAAGUGCUAGUUGAAUAAGCUGGCACCUUGACGGUACCUAACCAGAAAGCCACGGCUAACUACGUGCCAGCAGCCGCGGUAAUACGUAGGUGGCAAGCGUUAUCCGGAAUUAUUGGGCGUAAAGCGCGCGCAGGUGGUUUCUUAAGUCUGAUGUGAAAGCCCACGGCUCAACCGUGGAGGGUCAUUGGAAACUGGGAGACUUGAGUGCAGAAGAGGAAAGUGGAAUUCCAUGUGUAGCGGUGAAAUGCGUAGAGAUAUGGAGGAACACCAGUGGCGAAGGCGACUUUCUGGUCUGUAACUGACACUGAGGCGCGAAAGCGUGGGGGAGCAAACAGGAUUAGAUACC
rnacentral:rRNA from 1 species